GACAGAGGUGCCGAGCGUUAGGCGGAAUCACUGGGCUUAAAGCGUGUGUAGGCGGACCCAUAAGUACCUUGUGAAAUCCCACGGCUCAACCGUGGAACUGCUGGGUAUACUGCGGGUCUUGAGCGGCCUAGGGGCAGACGGAACAAGUGGUGGAGCGGUGAAAUGCGUAGAUAUCGCUUGGAACGCCAACGGUGAAAACAGGUUGCUGGGGGUGUGCUGACGCUGAGACACGAAAGCCAGGGGAGCGAACGGG
rnacentral:rRNA from 1 species